GCCACUUUUCCAGAAGGGCCCGCCAGAGCUCGACUCUUUUUCCAUAUUUCUGCCUGGAGAAUCCCAGUCAAAUGGUUUUGGGGGAGCAAAACAAACAAGGUGCCCAAAAGACCCCCGUUUGGAGCCGCGCUGCGUUUGCGCCAAUGGACGGUUCUAGUCGAGGAAGCCGAAUUGCUGAGUGUUCAUUUGAGAUGGCCGCACCUCGAAAAAGAUUUGGUGGGAAAGGGCAAACAAAAUGACCAAGCGGGUGGGGCGACUUCUCUAUGAAGAAAGGUUGCAGCAUUUCGGACUUUUUAAUUUAGAGAAAAGGCAAGCAAGAGGCGGCAUAAUCGACGUUUACAAAAUCAUGCGUGGCGUAGAGAAAGUGGAGAGAGAGGAGCUUUUCUCCUGCUCUGACAACAGAAGAAUUCAUGGACAUCCAAUGAAGCUGAAUGUUGGAAGAUUCAGGACAGAUAGAAGAAAAUGAGCCUGGGCAGCAAAACCAACGAAGAAUCUUGUAGCACUUUAUAUAGACUAAAGACUAUAUGUAUCUGAUGAGGGAUGCCUGCAGGUUUUGACAGGAAUCACACAAUGAUGGAAUACAAAAGCCAAGGACAAGGAAGGCUUGUAACAACACACAACUUAACCAAAGAUUGACUGGGGGCGGGGUGCUAAGAAUUCCAAAGGCUAACAAUGUGGAGGAUAGGUUACAUGAUGUUACAUGAUGUUCAUUUGAGUAUGUAGUAAAAUGAAACCAGUCACCAAUAACUUUA